rnacentral:rRNA from 1 species
GGAAUCUUAGACAAUGGGCGCAAGCCUGAUCUAGCCAUGCCGCGUGGGUGAUGAAGGCCUUAGGGUCGUAAAGCCCUUUCGCCGGGGAAGAUAAUGACGGUACCCGGUAAAGAAACCCCGGCUAACUCCGUGCCAGCAGCCGCGGUAAUACGGAGGGGGUUAGCGUUGUUCGGAAUGACUGGGCGUAAAGCGCGCGUAGGCGGAUCAGAAAGUUGGGGGUGAAAUCCCGGGGCUCAACCCCGGAAUGGCCUUCAAGACUCCUGGUCUUGAGUUCGAGAGAGGUGAGUGGAAUUCCGAGUGUAGAGGUGAAAUUCGUAGAUAUUCGGAGGAACACCAGUGGCGAAGGCGGCUCACUGGCUCGACACUGACGCUGAGGUGCGAAAGCGUGGGGAGCAAACAGGAUUAGAUACCCUUG